UUACGGCCACAUCACGUUGAAACACCGGUUCCCGUACGAUCACCGAAGUUAAGCAACGUCAAACCUGGUCAGUAUCUAGAUGGGUGACCAUUUGGGAAUAUUAGAUGCAGUAA